rnacentral:lncRNA from 10 species
GAGAUGGAGUCUCACUCUGUCACCCAGGCUGGAGUGCAGUGGCGCAAUCUUGGCUCACUGCAACCUCCACCUCCCGGGUUCAAGCAAUUCUCCUGCCUCAGCCUCAUGAGUAGCUGGGAUUACAGGCGCCCACCACCACGCCCAGCUAAUUUUUGUGUUUUUAGUAGAGACGGGGUUUCACCAUGUUGCCCAGGCUGGUCUCAAACUCCUGACCUCAGGUGAGCCACCCGCCUCCCAAAGUGCUGGGAUUACAGGCGUGAGCCACUGCACCCAGCCAAAAAAGUUUAUCUUUCAUGUUUCAGAUAAAGCCAUUGCUCUAAUAAUAAUAAAAUAUGAUAUGCAAACAAAGUGACAUUGUGAAUCUGUACCCACCAAAAAAUAGCACUUAGAAUAUGUUUUGCAUAGGUUUUUCAGUGAUCUGAUUUCAAGUAUGAUGAAAGUAAAUGGAAUAGGAAAUUUAUGAAGCUAUAACAUCUCAUAUAAUAUUUAAAAUGCUAUGCUAGAUUUUUAAAGUUGCAUAAGGAGUUAUUUUAGUGAUUCCUACAGUGAUCUGCCAAAUCAGCUGAUAAUUAGCUGAGUUGAGUCUAAGAGGUAAGCUUUGGAAAAUCUAGCUUGAUCUUUGUGACAGUCACUGAAAUAGAGAAGAGGAAGAUUAACUAUGUUUCACAGUGCAUCGAAAAUUCAAGUGAGAAAUCAUUCAUUUUUAUUCCCGGCCUCAUCAGAGUCAAGCUCGAAGGAAGGAGAAUGACAGAAUAAUUGAACUGGAGGAUGCUGGAUCUCAUUUAGUGCAACCCACUUAUUUUGGACAUGAGGGAGCUGAAGCUGAGAGAGAAGUGACUUGCCCAAGAUCACAGUCAUGGCAGGAUUGAAACUUAAACACGCAUCUCUUUAAUUUGGUCUGCUGAAUUGUGAAUGAAUGAAGCAUUAUGGCCCAUAUCAAUCACAUAUACUCAGUCAUACUUUCGUGAUCACCGCGACCUCAAAGUAAUAAAUCACCCUCAUUUAAAUAUCUUUCAUUAAGAGAUAAAAGUCUCUGGACUUUUAAAGCAAGUUGUAAUCAAUCAGGGAAAGUCAUUUGCAGGCUGGGAUUGAGUCUCGGUUCAAACAAGAGUUGGACCCUUCUGACCCUUGAAGCAUAAUUAAGGCAGCCCAAGAAGUGCACAGCUUAGAUCUUCUUUCAGAGAACCUCAAAGAGGACUUGCUCCCUCAGAGCUCACACCAAAGCUGCGCUCUCUGGGACACUCCAUGUGGCUGGGACACUAGGGCCGAGACUUCUCUAAUGGGCAAUCUUUAGUGUCAGGCUCCAUCAGCCUGGCCACUUGCUCAGAGUGGCACUGUGGUCUGAGGCUCUCCCUGAGAAUGCUGCUUCUUUCCCCUUCACUUUUCACAGGUGGCACACCUGUGUCACAGUCUGAAGCCUUCCCACCUCAUCCUGCUCCCUCUCCCCUUUGUCUUUCAUAGGCAUCCCCCAAUAUGUCACUUGCACUUCUCAUUCUCUCUGGUGUCUGUUUCCUAGAGGACCUAAACUGACACGUGACUGUGUCAUUUGACUUUAUUGGAAGCCAUCCCAUGCACGCACAGAGCACAUCUGGACUCAUGCUCUGACAUCACUGGGUACCAGUUUGGGGUUAAUUCAUGUGAUGACUUCAAUCUAUGAGGCUAAGUUGCAUGGCUUGGGCCAGCUCACUUAUAUUACCUCUGCCCCCUAACCUUGCCUCUGUUGGCCCAGAAACACACACUCUCUCUAAUUGAAUUUCUGGAUACAUUAUGACAGUAUCUAGAGGUGUUUUGUAAAUGCAAGUUAGCUCAGCAGUGGGACCCACAGUGUAAAUAAAAUGCUUCCAGGAUUGAUUGUGUAAACUGCAAACUUUUAUUUUUAUUUUAUUUUAUUUUA